rnacentral:lncRNA from 1 species
GGGAAGCGAAGCCCUAAGAUGGGCGGAGAGAAGCAGAUGUGGAGGUGAUGGCGAAGACCCAGAUAUAAGCAGACUUUCAACUGCGGCACCAGAAGGGACCUUAUAGCUGAGAAAAUUGAAGCUCAGAGAGCUGCAGCAGCUUGCCCAGCAUCAUACGGCACUGGAAAUGGUCAGCCAAUGUGUUCCGUAGAGCACGGUGGGUAACACACCCUUCAUCUUUCCAGGACCCCAUCGCCAACCUCUUCCUGUACCUCUGCUCCGCUGAGCACACAUUAAAAAAAAGAAAAGGCCGGGCACAGUGGCUUAUGCCUGUAAUCCCCGGACUUUGGGAGGC